UCUCUCUGCGUGCGUGCUCUCGAGCUCUUUUCGAGCAUUGCCUUGAUUGGUCGCGCGACUUCGCAUGGCCUCACAAUGUAUGUCAUUCACUUUCUCUCCCAAUCGAUCAAUUUUUCUGUGUCUCUCGAUCAUUUUUUUUCCAAAAGCUUCAAAUUCAUCAUUUUAUUUGAAGUUAGAGUUUGGUGAGAGAUAUGGAAAUGUAGACUACGAAGCCAAAUGCAUUCUCAAUCAAUUGAUUUCAAACCCUAACUGAUCUCUACAUGCUCCUCUGUAUGGAACGAUUCAGUUUGGUAGAUCACUAGACAAGUCGAUUUCAACGCUUCAGAUGGAGCUGGCUGCUACUCGAAGUUCUCAAGAGAUGAGGAGAUCUGAUGAGUUCACUCACAUCUCUAAAUUGACUCAUGAGGGCUUGCCAAGGAAGAAGGCUUUCAUAGUUAUUGGAAUUAGUACUGCUUUUAGUAGUAGGAAGAGGCGUGAUUCGGUUAUACAAACUUGGAUGCCUCAAGGAGAAAAACUUCUUCAAUUGGAACAAGAGAAAGGAAUUAUCAUCCGGUUCAUGAUCGGCCAUAGGCAGAGAAUCUUGUGCUGGAAAGAGGCAAAAACAAAGAGUAUCUUCCAAUAGAGGGUUUGGCAGCAUUUAACAAAGCUACUACAGAAUUAUUAUUUGGAGCAGAUAACCCAGUUACUACUGUUCAAGGUCUUUCAGGAACUGGUUCUCUUCGACUUGCUGUUGUACUCAUUGAAGGAUGUCUCCCUGGGGCAAAAGACUGUUAGUGGUGGCUAACAGGCUGCCGGUCUCUGCAGUUAGGAGAGGUACGGAGUCCUGGUCAUUGGAGAUAAGUACUGGGGGUCUAGUUAGUGCUUUUCUGGGUGUGAAGGAGUUUGAGGCAAGAUGGAUUGGGUGGGCUGGUGUUAAUGUGCCAGAUAAGGCUGGGCAGAAGGCACUUACUAAAGCUUUGGCUGAAAAGAUAUGUAUUCCUGUAUUCCUUGAUGAAGAAAUUGUUCACUGCAGUGAUAGGACAUGUGGGGCUUACUCCUCAAGCCACCAAUGUUCUUGGAGGAUUUAGGCCUCAAGAAAAAAAUAUUGCUAGUGCUGUCAAGGAAGUUAGGUGCUUUUCUGUUGUUCUGGAAUGUGUGCUUGCACCUGUUGCUAUUGCUACAGCUUCUGCACUUCGAACCCCUACCAUUGGUAGUGGCCAAGUUAAUUGAUUCUUUGGCUCUCUCCUAAUAAUGAAUUAGACUUGACUGGUUUGUGUUAUGUAUAAUCUUUUUGCUUUCAUUUGUACAUAUAAUUUGCUAUAUGAUCUUGUAAUUUGCUUUUCAAGUACUAAAGUGGGCAUUUUAGUAAUAUCAUGUGUUCAUAUAUUGAGUUUACUCUUGUAA